rnacentral:lncRNA from 1 species
CGUAUCGCUGUUUUCCUCACAUUUUGUAAUGGGGGGACAUGCUGAGUGGAGUGGCGUUGUGUCUGUGUACACACGCGAUCAGCUGCUAGCGCUCUCCUAUACAGGAUACCUGCCCGGAUCUAGGCCUGUUAUCCCGGAGGAGCUCAGGAGGAGACGCCGCGGGUGCAGAGCCGGAGCAAAAAGGAGGAGAGCAAAAAGGAGGAGAUUUAAACCAUCUGUCCCGUCGAUCAUCACCGGUAACGUGAGGUCUUUGGGAAAUAAGAUGGACGAGUUGUGGGCACUGAUUCGGACCCAGAGGGAGUACCGGGACAGCAGCAUUUUGUGCUUUACGGAGACAUGGCUGCAACCGGACUUCCCGGAACACAGUGCCUCCAUACCCGGCUUCAGGACGGUUCGGGUGGACAGAGAUGUCAGGCUGAGCGGUAAGAAGAAGGGCGGUGGGAUUGCAGUGUUUGUGAAUGAACGGUGGUGCAAUCCCAGACAUUUUACUGUGAAGGAACGUUUCUGCUCGCCGGACACCGAACUCCUAGCUUUGAGUAUGCGUCCAUAUUAUUUACCACGGGAGUUCUCCUCCGUCAUACUGGUAGGGGUUUACAUUCCACCAUCAGCUGAUGAGGCAUCGGCAUGUGACGCUGUACACACCACCAUUGCUAGGCUACAGUCUCAGCACCCCGAUGCUUUUGUGGCCGUUACUGGAGAUUUUAAUCAUGUUAGAUUGGACUCAGUUCUUCCAACUUUUCAUCAGUUCAUUGAUUGCACUACGAGGGAAAACAAAACAUUGGACCUAUUGUAUGCAAAUGUUGAGAAUGCAUAUAUCGCCACUGCCCUGCCCCCACUUGGUAGAUCAGACCACAAUCUUAUCCUUUUAACACCUCAGUAUGUCCCUGCAGUUCAAAGGCAGCUUAUUUCCACAAGGAAUGUGAGGAAAUGGACUCAGGAGGCCAGUGAGGUCUUGCAGGACUGCUUUGAAACAACAGAUUGGGAUGUGCUCUGCAGACCACAUGGGGAUGACAUCAAUAACAUCACUGACUGCAUCACGGACUAUAUUAAUUUCUGUGAGGACACUAUCAUUCCAACCCGGACAGUACGCUGUUUUCCUAAUAACAAGCCUUGGGUUACCAGUGACCUGAAGGGUUUGCUGAACCAAAAAAAGAGAGUCUUCAGGUCUGGUGACAAGGAUGAGAUGAGAAGGAUACAGCGCCAACUGAAGGUGGCACUGAGGAAGUGUAAAGACUCUUAUAGACAAAAGCUGGAGAAUAAACUCCAGCUGAACAACAUGAGGGAUGUGUGGAGGGGCAUGAAGCAGAUCACAGGAUAUAACAUCAAAGAUCGUCAGCAGGACGGCAGCCUGGACAGAGCCAAUGAGCUGAAUUUGUUCUUUAACAGGUUCAGCACUGGACCCGCUGCUGGCCCUCCCCACACCGGGCCAAUCUUCACACCCUCUUUGUCAUCCUCUAAUGCCUUCCAUCGUACCCACUCCCACCCCCCACAGUGUACGUCUGACCACAACCCCCCAACUCCAACCCC